rnacentral:ribozyme from 12 species
GAAAAAGAAGCCACAGAAAAACCCAGAGAUGAAGAAAGUAGGUCUAUAUUCAGAUCACCAUCAUCAUUUCUUCGUUUCAUUUGCUUCUUGUUUCCUCGUUUCUUUGACAUUUCUGUGC